GGGAGAAAGAAAGAAAGAAAAGAAAAAGGAAAAUUUGGGUUUCAAGGCUCAAAGUUUAAUUUGUCAAUGUGGUACCAGAAAUCUCGGCUAAGAAAGGACAAGACAAAGUCAACGGGAGUUAGCUCGAAAAUUACGGUUUAGUAAAGAUAGAACGUUGAAUCAGCAUCCCAGUUCGAUCCCGAAUUCAUUAAGGUAAAGUGUGUUAAUUAUUGGUAAUGGCAUGUACCUAGGAUGUUUUAUGAGAGUCAUUUAGGUUGUAGAUGUACUCAUGAAAUGAGUAAAUUAUGGUUGGCAACGGUAUGUAGUAUGAAUUUUGAAUUUAUUAAAAAUUCGUAGUGAUUCUAAA